rnacentral:misc_RNA from 1 species
GAAAUGCGAUAAGUAGUGUGAAUUGCAGAAUUCAGUGAAUCAUCGAAUCUUUGAACGCACAUUGCGCCCUUUGGUAUUCCAAAGGGCAUGCCUGUUCGAGCGUCAUUUGUACCCUCAAGCUUUGCUUGGUGUUGGGCGUCUUGUCUCUAGCUUUGCUGGAGACUCGCCUUAAAGUAAUUGGCAGCUGGCCUACUGGUUUCGGAGCGCAGCACAAGUCGCACUCUCUAUCAGCAAAGGUCUAGCAUCCAUUAAGCCUUUUUUUCAACUUUUGACCUCGGAUCAGGUAGGGAUACCCGCUGAACUUAAGC